UACGUAGGGUGCGAGCGUUGUCCGGAAUUAUUGGGCGUAAAGAGCUCGUAGGCGGCCUGUUGCGUCUGCUGUGAAAUCCCGGGGCUUAACCCCGGGCGUGCAGUGGAUACGGGCAGGCUGGAGGCAGGCAGGGGAGAAUGGAAUUCCCGGUGUAGCGGUGAAAUGCGCAGAUAUCGGGAGGAACACCGGUGGCGAAGGCGGUUCUCUGGGCCUGUUCUGACGCUGAGGAGCGAAAGCGUGGGGAGCGAACAGG
rnacentral:rRNA from 1 species